rnacentral:rRNA from 1 species
AUUGAACGCUGGCGGCAUGCCUUACACAUGCAAGUCGAACGGCAGCACGGGUGCUUGCACCUGGUGGCGAGUGGCGAACGGGUGAGUAAUACAUCGGAACAUGUCCUGUAGUGGGGGAUAGCCCGGCGAAAGCCGGAUUAAUACCGCAUACGAUCCACGGAUGAAAGCGGGGGACCUUCGGGCCUCACGCUAUAGGGUUGGCCGAUGGCUGAUUAGCUAGUUGGUGGGGUAAAGGCCUACCAAGGCGACGAUCAGUAGCUGGUCUGAGAGGACGACCAGCCACACUGGGACUGAGACACGGCCCAGACUCCUACGGGAGGCAGCAGUGGGGAAUUUUGGACAAUGGGCGAAAGCCUGAUCCAGCAAUGCCGCGUGUGUGAAGAAGGACUUCGGGUUGUAAAGCACUUUUGUCCGGAAAGAAAUCCUUGACUCUAAUACAGUCGGGGGAUGACGGUACCGGAAGAAUAAGCACCGGCUAACUACGUG